UAGGGAAUCUUCGGCAAUGGACGAAAGUCUGACCGAGCAACGCCGCGUGAGUGAAGAAGGUUUUCGGAUCGUAAAACUCUGUUGUUAGAGAAGAACAAGGACGUUAGUAACUGAACGUCCCCUGACGGUAUCUAACCAGAAAGCCACGGCUAACUACGUGCCAGCAGCCGCGGUAAUACGUAGGUGGCAAGCGUUGUCCGGACUUAUUGGGCGUAAAGCGAGCGCAGGCGGUUUCUUAAGUCUGAUGUGAAAGCCCCCGGCUCAACCGGGGAGGGUCAUUGGAAACUGAGAGACUUGUGUGCAGAAUAGGAGAGUGGAUUUCCAUGUGUAGCGGAGAAAUACGUAGUUAUAUGAAGGAACACCAGUGGCGAAGGCGUCUCUCUGGUCUGUAACUGACGCUGAGUCUCGAAAGCGUAGGGAGCAAACAGC
rnacentral:rRNA from 1 species